rnacentral:rRNA from 1 species
UUGAANUGGGCGCAGCCUGAUCCAGCAAUGCCGCGUGUGUGAAGAAGGCCUUCGGGUUGUAAAGCACUUUUAUCAGGAACGAAACACUGUCGGCUAAUACCCGGCGGGACUGACGGUACCUGAGGAAUAAGCACCGGCUAACUUCGUGCCAGCAGCCGCGGUAAUACGAAGGGUGCAAGCGUUAAUCGGAAUUACUGGGCGUAAAGCGUGCGUAGGCGGUUUGUUAAGUCUGUUGUGAAAUCCCCGGGCUCAACCUGGGAAUGGCAAUGGAUACUGGCAAGCUAGAGUGUGUCAGAGGAUGGUGGAAUUCCCGGUGUAGCGGUGAAAUGCGUAGAGAUCGGGAGGAACAUCAGUGGCGAAGGCGGCCAUCUGGGACAACACUGACGCUGAGGCACGAAAGCGUGGGGAGCAAACAGGAUUAGAUACCCUGGUAGUCCACGCCCUAAACGAUGCGAACUGGAUGUUGGUCUCAACUCGGAGAUCAGUGUCGAAGCUAACGCGUUAAGUUCGCCGCCUGGGGAGUACGGUCGCAAGACUGAAACUCAAAAAAAUUGACGGA